GGUAGAGCACUGACAGGGCUAGGGGGCAUACCCGCCUACCAACCCCUAUCAAACUCCGAAUACCAUUCAAUAGAGCGCAGCAGUGAGACGGCGGGGGAUAAGCUUCGUCGUCGAGAGGGAAACAGCCCAGAUCAGCAGCUAAGGUGCCUAAAUUGUGCUCAGUGGAAAGGAGGUGAGGUUUCAUAGACAGUGAGGAUGUUGGCUUAGAAGCAGCCACCAUUUAAAAAAUGCGUAAUAGCUUACUCAUCGAGAGACCUUGCGCCGAAAAUACUUGGCGAUAAGCACAAUACCGAAGCUCUGGGUGUCCUAGUUUACUAGGGCGCGGUAGAGGAGCAUUCUCUGUGCAGUGAAGGGUGAUGGCGACUGACCCUGGAGCGCAGAGAAGUGAGAAUGCAGACAUGAGUAACGAUAAGAGCGGUGAAAUCCCGCUCCGCCGUAAAUCCAAGGUUUCCCGGGCAACGUUUUUCGUCCCGGGGUUAGUCGGGACCUAACCCGAGGCCGAUGGGCGUAGGGGAUGGUAAGCAGGUUAAUAUUCCUGCACCCAGUAAGGAGGACGCAUAAUGAAAAGCUACUAGGUUAUUGAAUUCCGAGGCGAGGCUUAGGCCGGACCGUAUAGCUGGACAGAGUGCCAAGAAAAGCCCUUACAUUAAUGGCCCGUACCGUAAACCGACACAGGUGGAUGGGUAGAAUAUACCAAGGCGCAAGAGUGAAACCUGGUCAAGGAACUCGGCAAAAUAGCCCCGUAACUUCGGAAGAAGGGGUGCCCCCUCUGGGGGGCCGCAGUGAAAUGGCCCAACCGACUGUUUAGCAAAAACACAGCAUUGUGCUAAGGCGUAAGCCGACGUAUACGAUGUGACACGUGACCAAUGCCAAAAGAUUACGGUAAGAUGUUAGCACUUUAGUGCGAAGCUUCGAGCCCAAGUCCUGGUGAAUGUCGGCCGUAACUAUAACGGUCCUAAGGUAGCGAAAUUCCUUGUCGGGUAAGUUCCGACCUGCACGAAUCGUGCAACGAGUUGGGCGCUGUCUCGACCAGGUGCUCAGUGAAAUUGUAGUUCCGGUGAAGAUGCCGGACACCCGCAGAAGGACGGAAAGACCCUAUAGACCUUAACUGUAAGCUGUUAUUGGUUGUUCGAUCUUAAUGCUCAGCAUAAGUGGGAGACAUUGAAGGGUGCGUUUAGGCGCAUCUGGAGUCAUCAGUGAGAUACCACCCUUUAAUAUUGGAUAAUCUAACCCCGAGCCGUCAUCCGGCCGUGGGGACAAUGGCAGCCGGUCAGUUUUACUGGGGCGGUAUCCUCCUAAAGAGUAACGGAGGAGCGCGAAGGUGGGCUCAGCACAGUUGGCAACUGUGUGUUGAGUGUAAAGGCACAAGCCCGCCUAACUGUGAGACCUACAAGUCGAGCAGAUACGAAAGUAGGCCUUAGUGAUCCGGCGGUAGAAUGUGGAAUUGCCGUCGCUCAACGGAUAAAAGGUACCUUAGGGAUAACAGGCUUAUCACGCCCAAGAGUUCAUAUCGACGGCGUGGUUUGGCACCUCGAUGUCGGCUCGUCGCAUCCUGGGGCUGGAGAAGGUCCCAAGGGUCCGGCUGUUCGCCGGUUAAAGCGGCACGCGAGCUGGGUUCAGAACGUCGCGAGACAGUUCGGUCCUCUAUCCUCUGUGGGCGUAGGAAAAUUGAAGGGUUCAGACCUUAGUACGAGAGGACCGGGUUUGACGCACCUCUGGUGUUCCAGUUGUUCUGUCAAGGGCACUGCUGGGUAGCUAAGUGCGGAACGGAUAAGCGCUGAAAGCAUCUAAGCGCCAAGCCAUUCCUGAGAUAAAUUUUCCCUGAAGGAUCGUGGAAGACGACCACGUUGAUAGGCUGGGGGUAGAAGUGCAGCAAUGUAUGUAGCUCACCAGUACUAAUCAUCCGUUCGACUUAAUUCC
rnacentral:rRNA from 1 species